rnacentral:misc_RNA from 1 species
ACCUAAGAUUUGCUAGCAUGAAUUAAACCAUCAUCAUUACCAUGCCCACAUACGACGUGUAGAGAAAACUUUAUCAUAUUCCUUUUCUUACUUUGUGCCAUAAAAAAGUUAAACUGUUUAAAUGGAAGAAUUUUUGCGGUCCGAAUUGGGAAUUGAAGACUUGAAGUGUCUGGGUAAAGGUGGCUCAGGUUGCAUCAGUGAAGGGAUGACAUAUCAAACCGACAAAGGAGAAAAGUUAUUUAUUAAAUUUAACAACAAACCUGGGGCUAGAACGAUGUUUGAUGGGGAAUAUAGAAGUUUAGAAUGUCUCUAUGCUGCAGACAUUGUCCAUGUUCCAAAGCCAAUUAAGGUUAUAGAUCUACCAGAGGGAGGUUCAGCACUAGCCAUGCAACACAUUCAGAUCAAUGGAUUGUCAUCUCAAGCUGGGAAACUGGGAGAGCUCAUGGCAAGGUUGCAUUUACAAAACUCAGAGAUUAUAGAAAAGUCUAAGAAAAGUGAGAAUUUUGUUGGAAAGGCAGAAAAGUUGACACCUGUUACUCAGUUUGGAUUUGACAUAGAUACAUGCUGUGGCUUUAUACCCCAAGACAACACUUGGCAGAGUAGCUGGCCGGUACAGUAUAAUGAAUGCUGUUCAUAAAGCCAAUGGCUAGUUACAAUGUAGGUCACAAUGCUAGACUUCUGUGUGAGGUACAUGUAGAUAUAUAGUUAGUCUCUAGCUCUGUCAUCAAAAUGUGUUUUUACUGGAAGAAUACACAUGCAAAUAUUUUAUGUUUUUAAAUCAAAAAUAUUUUUUUUUAUUCUUUCCUUUCCAAAAAAAAAAAAAAGAUUGCUGAUUUUGAAUAAUAAUAAAUUUUGAAAAAAAAAUGUUACAAACUUUUGAACUGAUAUUUAAUAUGGCAAAAUAAACUAGAUUCACCAAAGACUAAUUUGGCCUUAAAAUUGACCAGAUGUCAAAACAAUUUCUAAAGUGUGCAAUUUUGUAAGUGUUGACCAUGCAUCCAAAUCCAUCAAACAAGGUUAUUCAUUAUAGAUGUAUACAUGUGUAUUAUUUUGUAUUAACUGAAUUGAUUUUGUAUGCAUUUCAGGUUUUUUAUGCACAAAAGUUAAAGCAACAAUUUGAUUUGGUAGAAAAAGAUUCUGGUGAUAAAGAGGCCAGGGAAUUAUGGUCAAAACUACAACUGAAGUUGCCGUCCUUUUUUGAGAUAUUGGAUAAUAUACAACCAGCUCUUCUGCAUGGGGAUCUAUGGGGAGGAAAUGUCGGACAAGAUGAUGAUGGUCCAGUGAUAUUUGACCCUGCCAGUUUCUACGGCCAUUCAGAGUUUGAUCUUGCCAUUGCCCAGAUGUUUGGUGGCUUUUCCACAGCUUUCUUCGAACACUACCAUAAAGUGAUUCCUCGUGCUGCAGGUUUCCGGAAGCGAUCAGAUCUGUACAAACUUUUCCAUUACCUUAAUCAUUGGAAUCAUUUCGGAGGUUCAUACCGAGAUUCAUCUCUUUCAACACUACACCGCCUACUGAAGUAAUUUGAUUAGUUACGGGUGAUAUCGAUCGAUAAGCAGGUUAACCUUUAUGUAAUCUAGAGUCCUUUGAAAAAGAGCUUGUACGGAAUAUAUAGGGACUCCGAGAUUCAUUUGACUUGCUGAAAAGAAUCAUUGAAAAUUAUGUUUGUUAUUUGUUCUUCAGAUUGAUUUUGCUUUGCUUAUACAUGGAUGUACAUUUAUACUGUUAAAAUAAAAGUUCUGAAGCAGU